AGAGUUUGAUCAUGGCUCAGAUUGAACGCUGGCGGCAGGCCUAACACAUGCAAGUCGAGCGGUAGAGAGAAGCUUGCUUCUCUUGAGAGCGGCGGACGGGUGAGUAAUGCCUAGGAAUCUGCCUGGUAGUGGGGGAUAACGUUCGGAAACGGACGCUAAUACCGCAUACGUCCUACGGGAGAAAGCAGGGGACCUUCGGGCCAUGCGCUAUCAGAUGAGCCUAGGUCGGAUUAGCUAGUUGGUGAGGUAAUGGCUCACCAAGGCGACGAUCCGUAACUGGUCUGAGAGGAUGAUCAGUCACACUGGAACUGAGACACGGUCCAGACUCCUACGGGAGGCAGCAGUGGGGAAUAUUGGACAAUGGGCGAAAGCCUGAUCCAGCCAUGCCGCGUGUGUGAAGAAGGUCUUCGGAUUGUAAAGCACUUUAAGUUGGGAGGAAGGGUUGUAGAUUAAUACUCUGCAAUUUUGACGUUACCGACAGAAUAAGCACCGGCUAACUCUGUGCCAGCAGCCGCGGUAAUACAGAGGGUGCAAGCGUUAAUCGGAAUUACUGGGCGUAAAGCGCGCGUAGGUGGUUUGUUAAGUUGGAUGUGAAAUCCCCGGGCUCAACCUGGGAACUGCAUUCAAAACUGACUGACUAGAGUAUGGUAGAGGGUGGUGGAAUUUCCUGUGUAGCGGUGAAAUGCGUAGAUAUAGGAAGGAACACCAGUGGCGAAGGCGACCACCUGGACUAAUACUGACACUGAGGUGCGAAAGCGUGGGGAGC
rnacentral:rRNA from 1 species